rnacentral:rRNA from 1 species
GCUCUGCUGGACCGACUAACUAGACACUCAGGGACGGAAAGACGUAGGGGAAGGCGAAGUAGGGAGUUAAGUACUACCCCACGUAGUCCUACGACCGUAACGAAUGGAUACUAGGUGUUGUCUGUAGUCGACCCGGACAGUGCCGUAGCUAACGACGUUAAGUACUCCCGCCGUGGGAGGUACGCACGCAAGUGUGAAACUACAAGGAAUUCGACGGGGACCCGCACAAGGCGUGGAGUAUGUAGGUUUAAUUCGAUGACAACGCGAAACGUAACCGUAACCUAGGACUUGACAUGUCGACGAAUCCAGGUAGGAAACACGAGGAGUCGCCGUUCCGGGAAGG